CGACACUACUACAAAAAUAGAUAAAGAUCUCGGUCAUUUGGUGUGAUUUUUCACUUUUAAUCUCGCAUUCAAAACCGUGGUCUAUCAAGGUGUAACUAAAAGUCUUUAUCUUUUAACCAUAGGAUAAAAAUCGUGAUUAAAACUCAUUUAAACCGUGACUAAAAACAUAAAAACUAUGAUUAAAUUGAUAAAACCGUGACCUUUAAUAGCUUAACAUCUCAGUUUUAUUAUAAAACUGUGAUUAAAAGUGGUGUUUUCCUAAGGGAAAAAAUUCUACUCUAUUUCUCCUGUUGGGUUUUGAACCCAAGUCUCUUGAGUUUUAUAUAGAAGCUUUAACCAACUACACCACUCACACUUUUCAAUAUAUAAUUGAAAUAUUUAAUAUAUAACAUAUGCGUUUAACUUACGAUCUCAGUUUUUAGAUGACUGAGAUUAAAGAUUUUUUUUAUCUCAGUUUUUCUUAAAUGAGAUAUAUUCUUUCAUAUACAAUCUCAGUUUUUCAAAAACGAGAUCUAUUCUUUAAGUUACAAUCUCGCUUUUAAAUUACUGAGAUUAAAAAAUUUUUUCAUCUCAGUUUUUUUCGAAACGAGAUAUAUUCUUUCAUAUAUAAUCUCAGAUUUUUGAGAAUGAGAUCUAUUCUUCAAGUUACGAUCUCACUUUUUAGAUUACUGAGAUUAAAAAAUCUUUCCAUCUCAGUUUUUUCGUAUAACUGAGAUGAAAACUAUAGUCUAUAACAUUUUACUACGCUUUUACAAAAAGUGAGAUCUUUUUAAUUUUUGUACCGUGAUCUUUAUAUCAUUUUGUAGUAGUG